ACGAAUUUCUUCAUUGGUCCAUCGGUCUAACCUACAUCUAAAAUGAAAUAAGUACAACUUUUAUAAGACUGUUUAAUUUAUAAUAUUUUUUUUCCAGAGUUAAAGUGCUUCUAUUCGUUAUAUAUAUUUUAGGGAUGACUCUUUCUUCGUACAAAAUAAACAUAAAAGGAGCACAAGGGUAUAGCAUGCAUUUGUAUAAAUUCUAAAUGGUUUAUUGUUAAUAUCUUUACAAAUAAAUAUAUAAAUGAAAGGUGUAAUUUACUGGGAAACUAUUUUUCAAAUACUCUUCAAAAGCAAA